rnacentral:hammerhead_ribozyme from 1 species
GCACUGCUGAGGAGUCCCAUAAUAAGACGAAACGGCCUUCUAGUGC